CAGGACGAACGGGAUCCUUUAUACCUACAAUUCCUAUACAAGUGUACCCAGAGACUGGAAUAUCGUCAUCAGGAGAGAAUCCAUUUUCCAAAUCCAUAUAGGCAAGACACAAGGUACGGAGAGCUUCAGAGGCAAACUGUUCAAUGGUGGCAUUAAGAUUAUUUCUUAUUGUUUCGUUCAAGGAAACAACGUCACCAUUUGAGUUGAUUACUUUGUCACAGGCAGCCAAAACUAUUUCUGAAGCACCUUUGGUAUGAGCCCUUAAACCUCCUUCAGGAAGCUCAAGCACCACACCCAUCCGCUUCUUAGUAGAGUUGAAUGGUUCAGCUUUCACAAGUUUUCCUGCUUGUCGUUCUGCUUGAAAAUCUCCACCAAGUGCUAAACCAAACUCCAAUAUAGCAGUCUCAGUCGGGGUUCCCAAUAUCUCAUUCUUCUUUCCCUUGGUAGCUACAACUUCUCCACCAGUGUUGUUAAAAAUCGACUGCAGCAAAGUUUUGAGCGCAGAAUUUGGCAUUUCUGAACAAAGUGCAGAUGCAUCACCUGGUUUGCUCACAUCUUUGGCAUCCAUACAGAAGCAUGUUUUCACUACCGUCAUGCGGUUUGUUGUUAGUGUGCCAGUUUUGUCACUACAGAUGGUUGUAGCUGAUCCCAUUGUCUCACAAGCUGCUAGAUUGCGGACAAGUGCUUUGUCAUUCAUCAUCUUUUUCAUGGCAAAGGCAAGGCUUAAUGUCACAGCCAGAGGAAGUCCCUCAGGAACUGCAACCACCACGAUAGUAACUGCAAUGGCAAAGUAUUCCAAGACUUCCAGCGCUUCUUCCCCGGACCAGCUCCAGUGGGAUCCCUCUUGCAGUUUUCGGCCAAACAUCUUCUGCAAGAGUACUGCAAAAGUGACAACAGCAAAGAAAAGGCCUAUUUUUCCAAUGAUUGUUGCCACUCCGUUCAGUUUAACCUGUAAUGGAGUUUCAUCAUCUCCGCCUUCACUGAGAGUUGCUAUCAGUUUUCCCCACUGAGUCCUCAUCCCAACUGUUGUAAUCAACAUCUUGCAAGAUCCGUCUUGGACCUUGGUUCCAGAAAGAAGAAAAGGAUUUUGAGCAUUGACCAUUACUGGCUCACUUUCUCCAGUCAAACUGGAUUCAUCAAUUAAAACAGAAAAUCCUGAAAGAAAGAGUCCAUCAGCAGGGACUUGAUCUCCUAUCGCAAGAUGAACUAUAUCACCAGGAACUAGAUCAUAUAUUGACAACUUUUGUCUGUAUCCAUUCCUAGUAACCUGGAUACAUAUUUUCUUCUUCUCUUUGUCAAGGUCUCUGAACUGCAAGGAUUGACGAUAAUCACUUGUUGCUGUAACAAACACCACCAACAAAAUACUAGCAACAAUACCAAGACCAUCAUGAGCCCCUAUAGGCCAUCCCUCCAUUGCAAUGCCAACAAUUAGAGACACAAAAGCGCACGCACCAAGGAUCAUGAGAGUCAUG
rnacentral:lncRNA from 1 species